ensembl:lincRNA Gm44214 predicted gene, 44214
CUCUAAAUCCCUGAGUCCCCUGCAUAACUCAGGAGACUGAGGAGGACUGCCUCCAGUUCAAAGCCAGCCCAUGCUACAUACUCGGCUCCACAUCAGCCUGGGCUACAGAGUGAAGACAGAAUACCCGUUUAAAAAAAAAAUCGUAACUCACUGCAGUUCAGCAUCAUAGCUGCUGAUGAGAUUGGAUCUGCUGUCCUGGAAGAGCCAACACUGCAACCCUAAAGGAAUGGGAAGGAACUGGACUAUACAGACAGCAAGCAGUGGGUCGUGGGGCAGCAGCCAGUAUCCAGAGUCCUCACCUGACAACCAGUGAUAGAGCCUUACUCUGGACUUCCCAACCUACAGCGCUGUAAGAAACAAAUAUCUGUGUAUAAGCCAGCUUUCAAGAGCCUGGACAGACUAAGAUGGCCCGUGCCAUGCCCUGAAGAUGCCAUACGUUGCAUUCUGUGUUUAAAUCUGCAAUCUGUCCUGAUGUGCAAUCUGUCCUGAUGUGCAAUCUGUCCUAAUGUGCAGUGGGGAAGGAUUAGGUCAGUUCUCACCAAAUGCUUCUCUACAUUUUAUUAAUAGGGUUUUUCUUCCCCCUGUUUUUCCAAUGAAUUAAACUGAAGUUUAUUGGUUUAGUUUA